UUUUUUGUAUGUUGGUGCUACUGUCGGAACCUGACAAUAAUAUUAUUGUUUACAUAGUAGUGAGUGUUACGUGUUUAGAGCGUUUACAGAUAAGAAUCAGAUUCAUCUUGGAGACUGCUCUGAACUGUACAUAAUCAAGAAUACAGAAUGUUUACGCUACUGAGCAGGAGAUCACUGAAAUGUUUUCAACUUACCGCAUUGAACAAUAGAACAUUUACUGAAUCAUUUUCCAAAUCAAGAGGAAAUGUUUAUGCUGUAGAAAAUCUUACGCAACGUGGGCUUCUGAAGGUGCAAGGAGUUGAUGUUCACAACUUUUUGCAAGGACUAAUAACAAAUGAUAUCCGUCAUUUAGAAAGUAUGAAUUCUAUUUACACGUUGUUUCUGAACGUAAAAGGACGUGUUAUGUGUGAUACAAUAAUUUAUAAAACUAGAGAAGAAAAUGUUCUUUUGAUUGAAUGUGAUUCGUCUUACAUUCAUUUACUUCAAAAACAUCUUAAGUUAUACAGAGUACGCAGGAAAAUCGACAUAGAUGUUGCUGACGAUAAAUUGAAAGUAUGGGUUUUUUAUAGACCGAUUGAUGAAUUAGAUUUCUCACAAGGGAAAGUUUCGUAUGCCAAGGAUAUCGUAUCACCUGAAACUCUUGGACUUUACAGUCAUCGUGAUGAUGUGAUCAUAUGUCGCGAUCCAAGAGUAGCGGCACUGGGAUAUCGUGUUGUUGCCCCCGUAGAUGAAAUUGUUCGUGAUACUUUUGCAAAAGAAUUAGGUGGUGGUUCAUUAUAUGAUGGAUUCUUGAAUUACAGAGUCCACAGAUACGUUUUAGGAAUAGGAGAAGGCAUAUGUGACCUACCACCUGGAGUGUCUUUCCCUUUGGAAGCAAAUAGUGAUUAUCUGCAUGGUGUAAGCUUUCACAAAGGUUGCUAUAUAGGACAAGAACUUACAGCACGAACGCACCAUACUGGUGUUGUUAGGAAACGCUUGAUGCCAGUGUUUUUUAGGUCCAAACCAGAAAUAGAAAUACCAUCUGAUGCACCUAUACAGCUACUAGACUCUUCCAAAAAAUCAGUCGGUAAAUUGAGGGCCGUGGAAGGUAAAGUUGGCCUGGGGCUGUUGAGAGUAACAGAAGCCAUAGCAGCAAAAAAUAUUACUGUGAUGGGCAUUAUAGGAGAGACUUGCAAACCACAGUGGUGGCCACAGGAAGCUCCGAAGGAUCGCCUUGCUGUGAGCCGGGAAGCAUGAAUGCUGUUGCAGGUGGAUAAACAAGUAGAUUUCUCCUGUUGUCAUCAAGAAAUAAUAGGAAACUAAUGUAAUAGUGUUUGUUUCCAUGGAUUCACUAUGAUGGCAGAAACAGAUGGACAGAAUAGAC
rnacentral:misc_RNA from 1 species